rnacentral:rRNA from 1 species
CCUACGGGUGGCAGCAGUGAGGAAUAUUGGUCAAUGGGCGAAAGCCUGAACCAGCCAUGCCGCGUGAAGGUCAGUGGCCUUUGGGGGUUAAACCUCUUUUGUGCGGGGGCAAUAAUGGUCACGUGUGUCCAGACGAGAGUACCGGAUGAAGCAGGACCGGCUAAUUCCGUGCCAGCAGCCGCGGUAAUACGGAGGGUGCGGGCGUUAUCCGGAUUUAUUGGGGUUAAAGGGGGCGUAGGCCGCAUGUCAAGCGUGCUGUGAAAUGGCCGGGCUCAACCCGGGCCUUGCAGCGCGAACUGGCGAUCUUGAGUCUGCGGGAGGCAGGCGGAAUUCGUGGUGUAGCGGUGAAAUGCUUAGAUAUGACGAAGAACCCCGAUUGCGAAGGCAGCUUGCUGCAGCAGAACUGACGCUGAGGCUCGAAAGCGCGGGUAUCGAACAGGAUUAGAUACCCGAGUAGUC